rnacentral:SRP_RNA from 1 species
CCGCGCAGCCGGGGCGACGAGCGGUGCCCUGAACCCGAAAUCCGUGGGGGUGAUGCCGACCGGAGAGCGCCGAAACGCCUGGGUCUUACGCAAUGGAGCACUUCGAACCGUGUCAGGUCGGGAACGAAGCAGCACUAAGGAGAUCGUUUCAUGUGACGUGAAGCCGCCUGGGUACCCAAUCGGGAUCGGUGACCGAAGGAAGGCGCGCGG